UCUAAGUUCGCCGAGACUAAAAGCUCACAAGAGACUAAGCGUUGGUAUCGGCAGAUAGUCAUCUGUCCACCUCCACACUACACUGCUCUCGCUAUCAUCACACGGAAUUUACAAAGGGUUUGGUCGAAGUCUCCUUUUGAGCUGGACUGAAAGUGUGCAGAGGUUUUCUUCUUCUUCUUCUACUACGGUGGUGUGGUUCAUGAUUACAUGACAGGUGGAGUAAUAUUCAACCAAAGGACUUCGAAUCUCUGGAAUUUCCCAGCACGUGUUGCCCGUGAUCAUCAGCAGACAGCCCUUCAGGAGAACAUGUCUUCAGACACAUGCAUACUUUGAUUUUGUUCCACACUGACAGACGGUACCAAGAGACGCCAUGCCUGAUCGGAACGUGCAAUUACUUGACAAGCAUUUCACCAGAGAUGUACAGCAGAAGCUUCCCCGACAUUGUCGGGAAAUAUUACCUGAAAUCCAAGAGAUAACCCAGACUAGAUUUUCUACCGGUAUGCCUACGCAUCUUCAGACCCUGGCAGAAGAGACUAGGUGUAAUGUGACUAAUGCUGCCGGGAGAUGUCUGGCUUGCAGCACCUAUUGUUGCCGUGGCUUCGGCUGUACACAUUUUCUUUUAUUGAAAAUACAAAGCCGUAAGAUUUGUACGUCUUCUAAGAACCGUUUGUUCCUCUAAAUCUCCAUCUGCGUCUUUCCUCUAUCACAUUCUCUCUCCCCCUUUCCAGUCAUUCUGCCUGUGACGCAUGCUGUCACCUUUGGUUAGGUUGGUGUGCAGAUUCCCCGUUCAUUCUUGUCUUGUGCAGACAGACCGCUGUGCAUUCGUUCAUGAUGCUU